rnacentral:rRNA from 1 species
GACGAACGCUGGCGGCGUGCUUAACACAUGCAAGUCGAACGGAAAGGCCCUGCUUUUGUUGGGUGCUCGAGUGGCGCACGCGUGAGUAUCACGUGAGUAACCUGCCCUUGACUUUGUGGUAACUUCACGAAACUGGGGCUAAUACCGGGUAGAAGCUCCUGCUGCAUAGUGGUGGUUGGUAAGUUUCGGCGGUUGGGGGUGGACUGGCGGCUUAUCAGCUUGAUGGUGGGGUAGUUACUUACCAAGGCUUUGACGGGUAGCCGGCCUGAGAGGGGGACCGGGCACAAGGGUACUGCGAUACGGCGCAGACGCCUACGGGACGCAGUAGUGGGGAAUAUUGCACAAUGGGGGGAAGCCUGAUGCAGCAACGCUCGGAGCGGGAUGACGGGUUUCGGGUGGUAAACCGCUGUCGCAGGUGACGAAGCGUGAGUGACGGUAACGGGUAAAGAAGCACCGGCUAACUACGUG